GCAGUCGUGGCCGAAUGGUUAAGGCGGUGGACUAGAAAUCCACUGGGGUCUCCGCACAGGUUCGAAUCCUGUCGACUGCG
rnacentral:tRNA from 1 species